GAACUCAAACCUUCAUUAACUUCAAAUAUAUGUCUCAACCAAAGUAAUAACACAAUGACAAUAAAAACAUCAUCUCUGACUACAAGUGCAACUAUGUUAAAUAUGACUUCUCUUAUUGAUCUAUUCAUUCCCCAUUGGCACCAGCAAUCACCAAUAAACCUUUCUGUAAUUCUUCAUUCUUCUAGCAGUCCAUUACCAGCAUAUAGGCAUAAAGCUUUCUCUUAAUAUUUUGGCUGUCCACGCUUUCCUGCAAUUCAUGAACACAUAGAAUUCAGAGGCACACAUAUGCUUAUGUUUUAGUACUGAUUAGUAAUCACCUAUGAAUAAACACGCAUGUUAUGUUAAUUUAAUUAUAUCACACCGAAUGGUGUAGCAUGGUAUACAAUUUUAGAUUAACCAUAUGAACUAUAAAUGACUCAUGACUGUAAAUGACUCAUGCCAGUGGUUACCUGUUAGCAAAAAUGCAAGGGAAUUAAAGAUAAGUACUCCUUUUUUCCACAUGACUUGAGUCUCUGCACAAAACAAAUAUAUAAGC
rnacentral:lncRNA from 1 species